GGUGGCGAGUGGCGAACGGGUGAGUAAUAUAUCGGAACGUGCCCAGUCGUGGGGGAUAACGUAGUGAAAAUUACGCUAAUACCGCAUACGAUCUAAGGAUGAAAGCGGGGGAUCGCAAGACCUCGCGCGAUUGGAGCGGCCGAUAUCAGAUUAGGUAGUUGGUGAGGUAAAGGCUCACCAAGCCAACGAUCUGUAGCUGGUCUGAGAGGACGACCAGCCACACUGGAACUGAGACACGGUCCAGACUCCUACGGGAGGCAGCAGUGGGGAAUUUUGGACAAUGGACGCAAGUCUGAUCCAGCCAUUCCGCGUGCAGGACGAAGGCCUUCGGGUUGUAAACUGCUUUUGUACAGAACGAAAAGGUCUCUAUUAAUACUAGGGGCUCAUGACGGUACUGUAAGAAUAAGCACCGGCUAACUACGUGCCAGCGGCCGCGGUAAUACGUAGGGUGCAAGCGUUAAUCGGAAUUACUGGGCGUAAAGCGUGCGCAGGCGGUUAUAUAAGACAGAUGUGAAAUCCCCGGGCUCAACCUGGGAACUGCAUUUGUGACUGUAUAGCUGGAGUGCGGCAGAGGGGGAUGGAAUUCCGCGUGUAGCAGUGAAAUGCGUAGAUAUGCGGAGGAACACCGAUGGCGAAGGCAAUCCCCUGGGCCUGCACUGACGCUCAUGCACGAAAGCGUGGGGAGCAAACAGGAUUAGAUACCCUGGUAGUCCACGCCCUAAA
rnacentral:rRNA from 1 species